rnacentral:rRNA from 1 species
CCUACGGUAGGCAGCAGUGGGGAAUAUUGCACAAUGGGGGAAACGCUGAUGCAGCGAAGCCGCGUGAGCGAUGAAGUAUUUCGGUAUGUAAAGCUCUAUCAGCCGGGGAGAAAAUGACGGUACGUGACUAAGAAGCACCGGCUAAAUAAGUGCCAGCAGCCGCGGUAAGACGUAGGGGGCAAGCGUUAUCCGGAUUUACUGGGUGUGAAGGGAGCGUAGACGGCGUGGCAAGCCAGAUGUGAAAGGGGGGGGCCCAACCCCAGGACUGCAUUUGGAACUGACAUCCUAGAGUGUCGGAGAGGCAGGCGGAAUUCCUAGUGUAGCGGUGAAAUGCGUAGAUAUUAGGAGGAACACCAGUGGCGAAGGCGGUCUGCUGGACAGCAACUGACGCUGAGGCGCGAAAGCGUGGGGAGCAAACAGGAUUAGAUACCCCAGUAGUC